CUAGCCAUUUAUAAAACGAGAGAGAAAAGACACACAAACAGCAGCAGCCGUCGUCGUCCUCCGCCGCGUCAAGACCGGCCUAUGAGCUCUCCGUCGAGGCAGUUCCUUUAUCUUCGAUAAACCGCCUCCAAAAAAAAAACUGCAAAAAAUGGAGUAAUAAAAUAAUCAUGUGUUUCAAGCACUAUUAGAGCAUCCACAAUGGGACGGAUGUCCCGGCGGACAUCCCGACGGACUUCCAAAAAAUACCUCUUGCUACGUCAUAAAGACAUCCCACUGCACUGCCACGUCAUAAGGACAUCCCACUACACAAUGGCCAAGGACAUCCCGACGGACAUCCACAAAAAAAACAAUAAAAAAUAUGGGACGUACGCCGGGACAUCCGUCGUGUCAACGCAAUGACGGACGUCCCGGAAAGCCGCGGAACUCCGGUGUCCGCAGUGGACGUCCGUGUCCGUAUGUAUGCUGCCUAAUGGCGGACAUCCGGCACGCCGGUCCGACGUCUGCUGGGACAUCUGCCAUUGUGAUGCUCUUAUCGAACAGGAUUUCCACCAAAGUAGAAGUAAACAUGGCUGAUCAAGACGAGUUUAUUGGACAAAUGCACCAAAAAUUGGUAAUCAUGAGUGGUCCGAUAACAGAUGCCAACAAUUUUGGGGUGAAGCCGUCUGCGAUUAUGAUGAUCCAACACGAUCAAUUCGCUGGCCUCUCGAGAGACGAGGAGCCACAUGUGCACCUUGCUCAUUUCUCCAGACUUUGUGGGACCAUAAAGAUCGAAGGAGUGCCAGGUGAUGCCAUCAAGCUCAGUCUCUUUCCCUUUUCUCUCAAAGCCGAGGCCAGGAAUUGGUUCUACUCCUUGGAGAGUGGAACCAUUUCCAUUUGGGACGAAAUGGCGCAGCACCUUCCUCGACAAGUACUAUCCUUGGGGUAAAGCCUCGAAGUUGCAAAAGGAUAUUUGGCGGUUCCAACAAAUGGAGGACGAGAGACUCCACGAGGCUUGGGAGAGAUUCAACGGGAUUCUAAGGAAGUGCCCUACUCACAGCCUUGAUAAAAACACCAAAAUUACCACAUUUUUUAUGGAUGCAACUAUGAUACGAAGCUAUGGUUGAAUAUCGCGGCUGGUGGAUCAAUUAUGGAGAAGACUUGCGGAGAAGCCACAGAAGUUAUUGAGAGGAUGGCUGCUAGUUCGUACCGAUGGUGAACGAACCCCUGCGAUAGAUGUUGUCACUGCGGACCAUCUCAUCUCUAUUCACCAGUAGUUACCUAACAUGUUAUUUGACUUAUUUUUCAGUUUACUCUAUUUCAUAUCUUAGUUUGUCUUACUUUUGAGAUCAUGCUUCGACUUUGGUCCUUGAAUGUUUUAGAAAAACUUUGUUAUGUUAUGGUUGAUUAGUGUUAGAAAUGUGUGUUGGGUAAAUGGUUUGAUAUGCUUGUGAUGGUAAGGAUGGAUUGUUUGUUUUGAAAUGAACUACAUGUUUUGAGCC